UAAGUAAAUUAUUUUAAUAAAAGAUGGAAAGAGGUUGACUGACCACUGGUCACAGGACUCCAAUCUGGUUGUUCUGAGGGCCAAGCAAUAAAGCUGUCUUCGCUACACCACAUAAGGUCUAGUCAGUGUGGUAACCUGGCUUCUCGGGGUCUUAGCCUUUGUUGAGCAUUCGAAGCAGUUACUAAAUGCUUCACAAUGCCAAGCAUGAGUCUGGAGAAGGCUGGGUGAAUACAAGGUCCGCAGAUGGAAUUCAUGGACCCAGAGAAGCUAAGCUCUGUGUGGGUAGUUGUAAUCAGGCCUUGGCUCUCCCAGGCUCUCCCUUCAGACUGUCUUCUCAGUAUGUCUGCCUGAGUUGUAAACAGACAAGCCUGAGCAGGGAACAGGUUCUUUGGAGGCUCAGCCUUCUGCCCGAGGCCCAGAGCCUUUAAAGCCAACUUGGCUGAGGGAUAGCGGUGUGGGCGUGUUUAGAGAAAUACCCUCCACUUGCUCAGGUCUCAUUCCCCUUUGCCCUACAGAAGAGCAGCAAGGCCUGGCUCCUUCCCAGCAUGGAGGCACUGGAUUCCCUGCCCAAGCCUGGAAUGUACUGUGGGAACAGCUGACUCUCCUCAUGGUGUCCUAGUGGCCUCUCUUCUCUCAAGUCCUGAAUUUGCCCCAGAGAGCUAGACUUCUGGGUAACUUGAAAGCCUAAAUCUACGGCUCGCUCAGAUCUGGAGAGACCCUUUGGGCUCUGUCGGAGCCUUCAAACUGGGACAAGAUCAACUUACCCUCCUUCUCUGUGAAGACCGUUGUAGGGAAGACCCUAAGUCAGACCAUUCUUACCAAGAUGAGGAGACAGGAAAUGAGGUCAAAGAUGACCUCAGGGCCCUUUGAUCAAGGGCUUCGAAUGCCAAGGUUACGCUAAGUCCAGUGUGGGGGGUCAGGGCCAGGCAGUCAGAGCAUGCUGGUUCAGGAAGCAGGGGUAGAUUAGAGGGGAGCGAUGGGGUUCUACCAGUGAGGACGCUGCUGGAAAGGGGCUCUCAAGAGACAGUGGAGGCUGGUGUGUGACAGCACUUGUCACCUUUGAGAGCAAUUGUGUGUACCCAAGUUUGGAAGGAGUACCCCUGAGCCAUCCAUGAGAAAUAGAAAGGAUGGGCAGACAUACGGGGUGGGGUGGGGGUGGGGCUGCAAUGGCCGGCACAGCAGGAAACUCCGAGUUCAGGGCUUCCCAACCUCCUCCUUGCUGCACCUCAGUUGUUAUUUGAGGAAACCUGUCCAGCAUUGGUCUGAUGCCACCAGCGGGAGGAGAACAAUCCUCACCCUUGUAGCUCUACUGGGGUAACCACAACAUGGGGCGCUCUAGCUGACAGGAUCCAUUGGUGUUUGCUGAGCGUGUCCUGCCCAACCCAACUCUCUCCAACAAAAUCUCUAUCACGGAAGCCACUAGACGGAGUGAACACGACUCUAGACCAGGCUUCAGGACAGACGUGCCCUUAUCAUGUCUACCCAGGAAGGGCCGUGUGCUCUGUGGGGAUCCUGGGCCAAAGGACAGGGACACUUUCCACCUGACAUUUCUAAGAUCCCAGCAGAGGGGUCAGCAGGACAAGGGAGUCCUGAGGAGUCACACAGAUGGGAGUCAAGGCUCUCCCCAGGGCUGCAGUUCCUUCUUCUUUACAGGUAGGAGCUAGACUCUGUCUCUCACGCCGUGUGAGUGAUCCCUGGCAGCUCCUUACUGUGAGCAUCCCUGGAAGGGAGAGAAGACAGAGGAGCAGGGACAGAGGAGAGUUGAGGAGAGGUAUGGGGUCUUACCUGUGAGUCUAGCCAAGGUCAGGAGGUGUAGGGGCACCCUAAGGCUCCAUCCAUUAGCAGCAGCAGGAUCUGACAGCCCCUCCUCACCAUUCACUGUUGUCUCUGCUGCCUCUGGCUCGGCACUGGCCUUAUGCACCAGCUGACCUGAAACCUAAUUCUGAGAAGCUAGUUGACAGUCUGGUCACUUGACAAGAGGCGGGGUGCAGGGAGGAGACCAGUGAGUUCCAGAUCUGGUUUAGCUUCCGUGACCUGGGGCUCUGUAACGUGGCUCCUUUGAGCUUUCAAGAGGAGGGCUACCUUGGUGACCAGGAGAUGUGGUGUGUGACAGUUCUUGUCACCUUUCAGAGCCCAAAAGUCAAGGUCUUAGGACAGGGACUUUCCAGGAUCCUAUGCCAUGAUUAUAGGCAUCAUUUCUUAGACACCUCAUGUUCUCCUCCAGAAGGGAAAGGAGAAGAUAGGGCGGAGAAGCUAGAGGACAUUUUGGCACCAAGAUAUGCUUGAUACUUGAGGUUCACCACGUCUAUUUCCCAUACCCUAGGAAGCAGGUAUUACUAAAACAGGCUCCUAGACUUAAAAGCAAAGGAAAAGAGCUUUGAGAUGUAUUUUCCAUAGAAUGUGAUUUGCCCACAUGGAGCACACAACAACUUUUAGCAAAGUCAGGUUGAUCAACCACUACAUUCUAGUUCAGAACAUUUUCAUAAUGGCUCAAAGACAAAAAACGAGUCAACCCUUCCUCCUUCCCCGAGCUUCAGGCAACCACUCAUCUUUAUUCUGCUUCUAGAUAUUUUGUUUGAGCAGGAUCGUACAGAAUGUAUGGCUUCUUGUGGCUAGUCUCUUCCCUGGUGCUGUUGCACACUGUGGUGUGUAUCAGUAGAUACAUAUACACUGAGUACAGCCCUCAUGUGUCAAUGCUUACUUUACAGAGAAAAUCAAGGACAGUGACUUCCCGAGGUCACACCCACCACUAGUACACUGCAACCCUGUAACCUAUAACACACUUUGGGUCUAUCUGCUGCCAUCACUAUUCCUCAUGACAUGGCCCUUGGCAUGGAGAUGCUGGGGCCGGAGUGAGAAGGGGCAGGUGAGCAGAAUUCCUUGCAGCAAACACUGUAGGCUGGUCCAUCUGUAGCCGCUGAGGUUAAGGACUGGGUGCAGCUUGAGCUGGGAGUUGGGUGACAUAGAAGGGAGACUAAAAGGAGAGGGGAGAGGAGACAGGUAGGGCAGAGAAGGUACUUUUUGGAACUUGAGUGCAGAGCCAUGGCAGAAUGGGUGCUAUGACAUCCGAUUGUUUAUCCUCUUUCUUGGACCAGAGACUGCCUACUGCUUUGGGCUCUGUCUGGAACUAUUAAUCUGGAGGUGGGCAGGACUGUGGGAGCCACAUGGGGGAGGAGUACAAGUAGAAGUCAAACUAGAGGCAGCAGGUUCUGGAGAAACCCAGAGGGAGGUGAGCUCAGAGGGCUAGGCCUCUGCUGGAAGUUUUAAGGCUGACUGCUACGGUCUCUGGGUCACCAGAAAUAGUCUUCAGGCAUCUGUGGAGGGUAUGAAUGAGAAGGUCGGGGUUCAUUCUGGUUGUGGUGACAAAUGUGUUGUACAGCUUGGCAAGUCAAGUCACCUCAGAGGUGUCAGGGAUGAGGGACUGGUAAAUAACACACCGUUUGUGCAUGGUCUGUUUCAGACCUCCACUUUGCCUGCAGCCGUGGCCUCCCGUGGCCCUGCUCUCACUUGACUCCUUCAGGUUAUUUACAGGAACAGGAUUUGGCAGUGACCUUCUUCACCUCAAGCUUUCCCCCUGAGGCCUGGAACUUGGAGGUCUCUCACCCCAAGGGAUGUGGAAUUCCAGGUACCGGAAGCUCUAUUCUGGCUGAGUGUGAGGUCUGGGGCAAGGCCAGCUGCAGGGUAGGGAUGGGGCAGGUUUGCAGGCUGACACUCAAGGAGCAGAAAUAUGUGGGACAGGUAGGGCUGAGGGUCCAUGGCCCAUCUAGGGAGGCUGGAGUGCUCUGCCUUCUGGGUAAGCAGUACACUUGCUGCGAAUUCACUCCAGCGUUUAGGAAGUGUGGGCUGACAUUUCUCAAGCUCCCAUUAUAUGCCAAAUGCCAGCCAAGCAUUUUCAGAAAUGUCCCAUUUGAUCUUCACAGCAACCAUAUGAAGCCAGCGUCUAAGUGUCUGUGCCUUCCAGAUGAGGCCAGAGCCACAAACUCAAUCAGGCUGGACACUGAUAUGGCCCAGAACAUUCUCUGGUUCCCUGUGCAACUGUCCAUGACCUGGUCUAUUCUCUGGGCUUUACCCCAGUUCUGGUUUCUUUCAGGAAUCCUUCCCUGGAUGCAGCAGCCUGAGCCUGCCCCAAUUCAGGGCAUUUGCUGGCUGUAUCCUGCUUUGGUCUGAGCCCCUUAUUUCUGGGAAUGUCUUGGGUCCUGAUGCACUUUCUACUUAUACAGAAGCAAUGUCUCUGACUUCCUUGGCCUUGAGUUUAACUGUGGGAAUUGUUUUGAGGAUUCAGUGAAAUGACACACAGGGGUGACAAGCAGAGGGCCCUUGGGUAGCUCCCUUUAGCCUCACUACCCAGCUGGCACUGGACAGCUGUGCCCCUUCAGAAUCAUCCUCAGAGGGCUUUGUCUGUGGUAGCUGCCCAAGUGGCUGUUUUGACAGAAGUUCCCUCCUGAGUAACACAGGGGACCAGCAGACUUUCACUGUGAGAUUUAAAGGGCCAUCAGAGGAAAAGACAAAUCAAGAAUGGGCAAGCAAAAGCCCAAAGCACUAGAAGAGGGACACUAUCGUCACUCGAACAUGGGCCAAUCUGACACUUGGAAGAACAAGUCCCACGUUGCAGAUGGCUGAGUGACAGCCGUGCCUUCUUUCUGCAGUUAAAAGUACAGAUGAACUCCAACACCUUUCCCCAAUGACCAACCCAAAACACAUGUACACAAAUACAAAUGCCAGACUUUUAUUAAAACAAAGGCAAAACAAUGAAUUUCAGAGCUGAGUAAAAACAAAUAAUACGUUAAAAACAUGGUUAGGUUUCAGACAAUCGAAUACAGUUUAAAGGAAGCAAUU
rnacentral:sRNA from 1 species